UACGGAGGAUGCAAGCGUUAUCCGGAAUGAUUGGGCGUAAAGCGUCCGCAGGUGGCUGUGUAAGUCUGCUGUCAAAGAGCGAAGCUCAACUUCGUAAAGGCAGUGGAAACUACACAGCUAGAGUGCGUUCGGGGCAGAGGGAAUUCCUGGUGUAGCGGUGAAAUGCGUAGAGAUCAGGAAGAACACCGGUGGCGAAGGCGCUCUGCUAGGCCGCAACUGACACUGAGGCACGAAGGCGUGGGGAGCGAACGGG
rnacentral:rRNA from 1 species